rnacentral:lncRNA from 1 species
UCACUCUCGACUCGCCUUCACACGAGGCGUCCGCCGCCGCGACUUCAGCCGGCGUCAUCUGUCGACGCGCCUCAGCCCCGGCGCCGUCCUCUUUCCUCCCCUAACAUCGAGCCCUGAUUCUCAAGGAAUCAGCGCUGCUGCUGCUGCUACCCUUUCGAAAUUGGGCGAUCGGUCGCCGUCUGGGAGCGGCGUUGCUCCGGCCUGGAGCCCGUCGGCCUCCUCUC